rnacentral:misc_RNA from 1 species
UUUCCGUAGGUGAACCUGCGGAAGGAUCAUUAACACUAAUUAAUGAGUCCAAACCAUUGGAUUUCAACCAACCAUUGUACGAACCUAUUCUAUUCGGUUGUGGGAGGGAGAGGAGUAGACUCAUGCGCUUUUUUUCUCUCUUGUUGGUUCUUCUGUGGCGCUCAAGUAUCUCGAGUGAGGGUAAUACUUCUUCCUUGGGGUUUGGGUUGCUCUGGAGAGCGGCAAAGAGUUAGAGAGGUAUGUGGGUUUUUCCCCCCCUUCCUGCAGCUAGUCCCUUUUAAUUUUCUCUUAAAACGAUAUUGAAUCUAACUGACUAAAAACAUUUGUUUCCUUUUGUAUUCCUUAAUUGGAACAACAAAAAAAGCAAUAAGAAUAAACGCGAAACAACUCUUAACAACGGAUAUCUUGGCUCUC